rnacentral:lncRNA from 1 species
AUGUUUUGGGGAGGUCUGUGGAAGGACUUUGGAAUUUUGGGCUUGAAGAUCCAUUCGUUGUUAAGAGCUCUGUCAGAUGUUUUGUAGGAGCUUGGAAGAUAAUGUUGAGAACAGUGCAGAAGAUGGAGGCCUGGCUUGUGAAAUUUCAGAGGGAAAAUUAAAGACUCUUUUCAGGGCCAUUCCUGUUUUGAUUGUGAAGAUUCUGUAGUUCUGGUUAGCUGGGGCUGAAGAAUCAGCUGUGAUUAACAAGAUACCAGAACUACUAAAACAAAAACUUUGCAUUACUGGGACUAUUGAUGCUGGUUAGCUGGAGCUAAGAAAUUAGCGGUGAUUAAGAAGAGACCAGCAUCAUUGAGGUGACAUUUUCUGGGAAGUGUUUUCUGAGAGCACAGUGGCUGUGUUCCAGAUAUAGCCAAAGUUGUACAUUGUGCUGUGGCUGGACUUGGUAAUGUGUAAGGGUCACCCAGGUGGUACUGGUUUUGAAGGCAUGAAGGAGUUGAGCAGAGCAGCUGAGGCUUGGCACUGUGAGAGGCCAUGGAAGGCCAUUGGUGAAAGUGCAGCCUCAGUUGCAAUUGAUGGCCCAGGACUGAAGGGGUCAUGCAGUGUUUUGGAGAUGCCAGUACCAUGAGAUGACCACCAAGAGCAGCAGCAGCAGUGGAGUACAGGCAUCUGGAGCCUAGAGGAUGACGCGUGUGCUACAAAGGGCAUGGCUGGAGAAGUGACCCAAGCCCUUGGAGGAGCCCAGAAGAUCGUGAGUUGGAUCCCAGACAUUGGACGGUUGGAGAUUGACUUUUGCUUUUGAUUGUGACUGUGCCCUGAUAUUUUCCCUCUUGAAGGAAGAAACUGUUUUAGUGGAGCCCACAGUUAAGAGACUUUUAAUUGUAAAAAGUCUUUGGAUUUUAAGAGAGAUGGAUAUUUUAAAGAGAUUGAAAUUUUAAGAAUAUGUAAAGACUGUGGGACUUUUAAAGUUAUUUAGAUCUUGGGGAUGAAUAAGAUUGUAAGGGUUGAGGCUUACUAGUGAUGUUUUUGUGUGUCAAGUUGACAAGGGGUCAAUUGUACUGGCUAGUUUUGUGUCAACUUGACACAGCUGGAGUUAUCAUAGAGAAAGGAGCUUCAGUUGAGGAAAUGCCUCCAUGAGAUACAACUGUAAGGCAUUUUCUCAAUUAGUGAUCAAGGGGGAAAGGCCCCUUGUGGGUGGGACCAUCUCUGGGCUGGUAGUCUUGGGUUCUAUAAGAAAGCAGGCUGAGCAAGCCAGGUGAGGCAAGCCAGUAAAGAACAUCCCUCCAUGGCCUCUGCAUCAGCUCCUGCUUCCUGACCUGCUUGAGUUCCAGUCCUGGCUUCCUUGGUGAUGAACAGCAGUAUGGAAGUGUAAGCCGAAUAAACCCUUUCCUCCCCAACUUGUUUCUUGGUCCUGAGGUUUGUGCAGGAAUAGAAACCCUGACUAAGACAGUAACUAAGGGCUGUAUAUUCUUCUGAAGAGACAUACAUGUUGUCUCAUAGUGCAGACAUUUUAUAGGACUUCAGCUUUCAUACGGCACUGGUUCCAGACCCAUGGUGCUAUCUAUCAACUGCUAAGCUCUUCAGUCGAAAUGAGCUAUAACUAUGACAAGUGUAUUAUAUUUUAAAGAUUUUUUUUCGAGGAAAGUCCAUAUAAGAGUACUUGACAAUAAUUUCUAUAUUAUUUUAUGAAAAUGUUUUGGGUGUAUCAGUCAUAUAAAAUAUACUUC